rnacentral:ncRNA from 1 species
UGCGUAGGGCGUGUUUCAUAACGAUCUUGGGAAAACUCACACCUUUCAGGCGCGCCGUGCGAAUGUACUGCGCGGUCAUGACUUCUGUCAUGGAGGCGCGCGUCAUUCGGGCGAUGUAUCCCAUGCCGUACAAUGCGAUGGUCAUAACAGGCAGGAAGAAGUUCCAGAAUGUGGCGUCC